GAGCAAGGGCGUCGAUUUAUAAUGGCGUGAAUUGCAUUGAAGGUUGGCCAUAUAAACGUUAGCGGUUCUCCGUGCCUGUCAAAUUUCGUUAGUUUUGAUUAUGGCCUCGAACAAGUCGCUACAUU